AAUCUAUUUUCGCCGUUGAAAGGCGCGCGGGAACACGGUUCGCGGCGGGUUUCUCGAACCGCGGUGCUUUAGUACGGCCAGUCUCUCCGCUACGCGCAGAACUUCGCCAAUCCCGGAAUAGUUUUCGGGUAGUUGCUCGUCGGGAGUUUUUUUGCCGUCGUAGGGGGGGCCAGAUUACGGUCGCUUCGGGGCGUGUUUGCCCACGGAUUCCACGUCGUUCGGCGCCCAGAACGUCGGCGACCCGCUAGCCUCGGUUCGAGAUCGGUAACUAAAGGUUUAGAGCCCGAACAUCGUGUUCGUACGGUGUUCCGAUCGUUCGCGCUGGAGGUAGACACGGAAAACGCGACGAUGGAUGCCGCGGACGUCCUCGGCACCGACGCCACAUCGCCCGACGAAGGGAUUGUAAACAACAACAACAACGAGGACGAUGAGGCGCCCACCGUCGAGGAAACUUACGAGGUCACAACCACGAAACGCAAGACCGUUAGGACCAGCUAUAAGAUCCAAGAAACUUCUGCAUCAACCAAAACAACCACAAUGACAACCGCAGCAAAGUUGUAUGGGAAAGACUUGAGUGAAUAUGACGAUGUUGAUGUGGAUGAACUGUUGUCACAACUUACCCCGGAAGAAAUUAAUAUGCUGGCCAAGGAAGUGGAUCCUGAUGAUAGCUUUAUGCCUCCCUCGGAACGUUGUAGCUAUGAAUGUGACAAGAGUCCAACAGGUCCCUUAAAUCGUAAGAAACUAAUCGAACAUAUCAACAAACAGGCUUUAGAGACACCAGAUAUACCAGAAUUGAAACCUUUUGUACCUGGUGUUAUUAGAGGCAAAAAGUGGAUUCCACCUCCUCAAGAAUCUGUAAAAGAGAAAGAAGCAGACGAACAAAUUGCUAUUGAUCUUGGAGAAGAGUACGAGCAAGCAUUAUCUAAUGCCACUCAAGAAGAAAUCAUUGAUCUUGCCGCUAUUCUCGGAUUCCAUUCCAUGAUGAAUCAGGACCAAUAUCAUGCCUCGCUAUUAAAUUCUGGUCAGCCCAUUGGUAUGGGUUGGGAUGGAGUUACAAAAGCUAGUCAACCAAAACCUUACCCAAUGGAACCACCCAAUGAUACAGACAUCGACGCCACUAUCAAACAAGUUCGAGAAGACGAUGCUUCGUUAACCGAUUUAAAUUGGAACAAUAUUAAAAAUAUAUCCGACGAAAAGUUUAUUCAAUUAUUUGAAGGACUGGAGAUGAAUACUCAUCUUGAAACCUUAAGUUUAACAAAUGUGGGACUUACUGAUAAGACUGCGCAAAGGUUGGCAGAAGCCUUAGAGAAAAAUUCUACGCUCAGAGUACUCAAUGUGGAAACAAACUUUAUAAGUCCAUCUGUGAUAGUGAGGCUCAUCAGGGCACUUCUUAAAACGAAAUCAAUAGAAGAAUUUCGAUGUUCCAAUCAGAGGUCACAAGUGUUGGGAAACAAAAUUGAAAUGGAAAUCACACAGUUGGUAGAACAAAAUCCAACGUUGCUUCGACUUGGUCUUCACUUGGAAUUCAAUGACGCCAGACAUCGUGUAGCUGCACACUUGCAACGCAACAUUGAUAGGAUACGGAAAGACCUAACGCUGCGGCUACAGUUCCGAUUCUUUAACAUGAACCACAGGAAACCUGCCUUGAUUCAAUGAAAGUACGGCAGUCCCGGCUCGGGGUGGCGACAUCUUAACGCGAAGUGGCGUUCGCCUAGAUCGGCUGCACCGCAUGGGAAGGUCUUCCCGCAACUAUACCAUCGGCUGGGCCCUUCAUCGAUGAUCAACCGUGCCCACGAAACCGACAGCAACGACUACGACCACGACUUCGACAGCGACAACGACGAUCCGGUAAUCGUAAUCGACGAUGCAAGAAACGGGAGAUCGAACGAUGAUUUUCGAUUCGUAAACCCUCCGGUUCCGUACUGGCCGGUUGCCACGAAGGAACGACGAAAUCGCUCAAAACGGUUCGAGAAGUAUAGAAAAUUAAUAGAGAAAACAUGGGUCAGAGAAUGAAUUUUUAGACGUUUUUGUAAGCUCGUGUAAUUUUAACGGGCACACGUUCGCGGUUCGAUCGAGUGGGAGACGAUUCUGCGUCUAAAAGUACGUGGAAUAUUUGCUGUGAAAUUUAUGUUGAAUUUUCGGGGAGACCGCGUCCGACCAUAUCUCGAUAUUACUACUUGGAAUGUUAGUGAACGUCGGUGGCGUCAUUUUCCUGGCAAUUUUUACAUCUUUUGACUCGUUUUUGUCAUUUUAGCGGUCUUCCCGUUCGACACGGAUUCAAUUUUAUUUUCGAACAAAGUUCUUCGGGGACUGUUUUUGUCAAUUCGUUGAUAAUCGAACGCCAUCGAUUACUUUUUCACGCGGUCGAGUUCCGCGGUUUCGGUUUCGAAAACAGCCUAGCCGUUCCGUCGGCGCUUCCGGUUUCCCUUCCCAGCGCAUUCAGCCCGCCCGGAAGUGUCUCGUUUUCGCUACCGGACGCCGCGAAACCCGCUGAAUCGCACCUGACCGCUUCCUGCCGCGCGACCAGUACCCUCGCCUCGUCUCUCUUCGCAGGCCACCGCGCUUAAACGUCCCCGGGGUUCCGAUACUUUUGUUAUUUUUAUUCCCAUCCGUCUCAUCUUGGGUGUUGCCAGCUUCAAAGAGCAUAAAUCGAGCAGAAAGCCUUUCUUUACCUUGUUUUAUUGCCGUGGGCGCUUCAACGCGAACGGUUGCUUUUAUUCACGGUUUUAUUCGUUUUUACAAAGCGAAUCUAGAAAUAGGAAAGGUCGCCCAAAUUUUUAAAAAUACAUUCAAAUAUAUUUACCGAUUAUCCGAUGGUAAAAAUAUUUUAGUUUUAAAUUUGACUCAAAGAUUUGGUUCAAUGUGAGACGCGUUUUCGUCGUAAUUCCUCCGGCGUUUAUUUUAUGCUAAACGCGGGGAUUAACUCCUCGAUACGUCCGUGAAAUCCAGUUUCCGUAGAUGGCGUCCUCCCGGCCGAGGGGAACGUCGACGUUCACGAUUGAUUUGCGUCAUUCAGGCGGGCAAACGAAUCGUGCUCGUUCACGAGAUGCGAUUAUUUUCCCCGUUAAUCGCGUUCCCAUCAGUUUUCCUCGACGCUGAAAAACGCCCGACGCUCCGGAGCCUCGGAAGAUUCGAGCUGCUUCCGGUACAGGGGAUCCAAAUUCGCGAGGAAUCGACGAGUUCGCGUUGUUACCGCCACGUCUAAUUCGAUCAGUUCGAUAUACCCACGUAUCGUGUCGAGAUCGAUUUAAAAGAAGUUCGAAGUAGCUGUCGAAGUACAGAACAGCGCGAAUCGGGUCGAAAUAAUAUUUCGAUGACUGCAGAAAAGUUUUGGUAAUCAUUUUUGAAGACUUUCGUAACAUUUUUAAUUGAUAUCAAGCAAUCCUGUUAAACGCUACGUUUCUCGUUAGAUCAUUAAACUUAUUUCGUACUUGGAAAUUUCAAGGGAUCAGAGAAUUAAAUUCUUCUUUGGUCGUUAAUGUAAAAAUCACAAAUUACCGGAAAAUCUUUUUCGAAAAUAGCGUUCGCGUUUGACGUUUUCCACCAUCGAGCCACGUGACACGGUAUUACGGUGUCACGCGAAAGCUACUUCCAAACGAAUUUUUCAGCGACAAUAAGUGCUCGCGAGGUCGUUCAGAUUUCUCACUGAAAUAUUAUUUUUAUCCGACGUCGCCCAGGGCGGCCAUUCGAGGAACGGCUGACCAGGACUCUUUCGUGCAGUCGCGUCGAAUAUUGUCUGUAACCGAGAGAACGUUCUGAGAGGAUGGGAUUGGACGAAAGGGUGGGAGAGAAUGCGGGGGAGAACGUGAUAUAGACGGAAUCAUUUCUGUCGCCUUUGUCGUUUUAAAACGCGCCUCGCCGCGAAAACCCCAAAGGAGAAUUCGCAGCAUCGUGAGAUGCGAGGAAUUUACGAGUAAUAUUAAUAUAUAUCGCGAUCGUCACGAUCUUAAGCGAUCGUUACACGCUCGGAGGAAAGUUUACGAACUCGAAGACAUAUAUUUUCUGUGCCUAAUUCUGUUCCAAACGUGUCCUAAAACUAUUAAUCAGUAGCUAUCGUAUUUGCAAUUCAAGUACAACUUGAAUAUAAGCGUCUCUCAUAGCUAAGCGAGAGUUAUCGUACUCCUAAUCUACGUUUAAUCGCGAAGCAGACCUUUAUUAUAGACGAUCAUGAACUAAUGUAUUUAUAAUUUUUACCCAACUGGAAUCUAGCUCUGCCCAUAAUGCGGUUCUAAUUCUAUUCUGGCUUGAAUUUACAUUUCUCCUAAAUUUCGGGCUUAAUUUCCCAUCCGACUCUUGCAUGUACAUUACUAAGAGAAGACCUAAUUGAGGCCUAUUUAAUCACUGUCGUACGAGGCCUGUGCUCUUUACACUUUUCUCUGUUCCAUUAAUAUUUCUAUUCCUUCUAUUUCUCUCGACAGUUUAACUCGUAAAUUAAUUUCCAAUCCUUCAGUCGCGUUUUUAAUGUCAAGGUUCGGCUAUCGACUAAACGUUUUCACGGUAGUUGAUGUAAAUAUAGUCGAAUGUCGUGUGAAAACGUCGUGAUUCCCUCGAACAUGCUAUCGCUGCUAUCAAGAGAGUCUUCGUCGAGAUCGUUGAACGAUGUCUCGACACGAAAGGUCGCUUCUCCGUUUCGAUUCGAUUCAACUUUCGUCCGAGUCCCAGUCGAGCGAUCGGAGACGAUACUUCCUCGAAGGAGGAAUUUUUUAUCCACGAAUCGAGUUCAACGUAUCGUCCCCGAUCGCCUCGCUGUAAUAUUCGCUGAGACGCUAACGAAACGUUCUUUUAAUUAAUGAUUAUCCUCGAUCGGAGCUGGGCAAAAUUCGAUCGACCAACGCGAAGUAUUUCGUUUUACGAUCGAAACUUUUAUUUUUAUUUUAAAAUACGAAUUUUGCUCAUCUCUGGCCUCGAUAUCCGUCUGUAAAUAUUGUCUUCGCUGUCGUCUUUGAUAGUCCGCGACUCGCAUAACGAACAGAGAUCGGUAGAAUUUUAUUCGAACGACGAAUGAACUUAAACAACAUGCAGGAAUUUAUUCGAUCGAUUUUUUUAUCGAUUAAUAUAUCUAAUAUUUUGAGUGCUAGGGAAAUAUGUAGCAAAUAAUUUUUUUAAAAUAUGGAUCAGAGACGGUUUGGAAGGUCUUGAAUUCGAAUCGGGAUUUUAACCAAAGGGUUGUUUAUCUUUUGUCCGUUGUUCGAGAAUUUUUAUUUAGGUAUGAAUUUUGCCUGUCUCUGGUAGCAGAGAACGAAUGGACGCGCGCGUGGUCGAGGCUCGCGAAUAGCGGAUUCGUUGCAGCGAAUAGAGAAUGAGUGAAAACUAGCGACGCGUGUUUCGCGUGUGUCCUGAUCACAGGUACGAUAUCGUUAGAGCGAAAAAGAAGAAUGGGUGGCGCAGACUAAUUAGAAAAAUGGCAUUGUAAUCAUUCGUCUCGCUCGCGGCCUUUUGAAUACGCGUUCCUCUUGUAAUCACGAGCUCGCAUAUGCACUCUGUCGCACGACGCGUAUCGCGUAUCUACCUAUCGAAACUAAAAAUGCACGCGCACGAUCGAAACUUUGCUGCUAGACUUACAUUGUAACGCGAAGUUUAAAUAAACUAUGGAAAAA